GAUUAACGCUGGCGGCGUGCAUAACACAUGCAAGUCGAACGAUGAAACUUAAAUGAUUUCUUCGGAAUGAACUUAAGUGGAUUAGUGGCGGACGGGUGAGUAACGCGUGAGUAACCUGCCUUACACAAGGGGAUAGCCGUUGGAAACGACGAAUAAUACCCUAUGAAACUAUCACUUCGCAUGAAGCGAUAGUCAAAGUGUUAGCGGUGUAAGAUGGACUUGCGUCUGAUUAGCUAGUUGGUGAGAAAAAAGCCCACCAAGGCAACGAUCAGUAGCCGGCUUGAGAGAGUGUACGGCCACAUUGGGACUGAGACACGGCCCAGACUCCUACGGGAGGCAGCAGUGGGGAAUUUUGCACAAUGGGGGAAACCCUGAUGCAGCGACGCCGCGUGAUUUAGAAGGCCUUCGGGUUGUAAAAAUCUUUUGUAUAGGAAGAAAAUGACAGUACUAUACGAAUAAGGUCCGGCUAAUUACGUGCCAGCCGCCGCAGUAAAAC
rnacentral:rRNA from 1 species